CAUCAUUAAGGCUGGGCUGUGAUGGGGAGCGAAAAUUGUAGUAGCGAAGGUCAUGAUCUCACACUGCCAAGAAAAGCCUCUAGCCAGGAGAAGGUGCCCGUACCGCAAACCGACACAGGUAGGCGAGAAGAGAAUUCUAAGGCGCGCGGAAGAACUCUCGUUAAGGAACUCGGCAAAAUGACCCCGUAACUUCGGGAGAAGGGGUGCCCCGGUAGUGUGAAUAGCACGAGGGGGCCGCAGUGAAAAGGCCCAAGCGACUGUUUAGCAAAAACACAGGUCUGUGCGAAGCCGCAAGGCGAAGUAUACGGGCUGACGCCUGCCCGGUGCUGGAAGGUUAAGGGGAGUGGUUAGGGGUAACCCGAAGCUAUGAACCGAAGCCCCAGUAAACGGCGGCCGUAACUAUAACGGUCCUAAGGUAGCGAAAUUCCUUGUCAGGUAAAUUCUGACCCGCACGAAUGGCGUAACGACUUGGGCGCUGUCUCAACGAGAGAUCCGGUGAAAUUUUAAUACCUGUGAAGAUGCAGGUUACCCGCGACAAGACGGAAAGACCCCAUGGAGCUUUACUGCAGCUUGAUAUUGAAUUUGGGUACGAUCUGUACAGGAUAGGUGGGAGCCGUAGAAAUCGGAGCGCAAGCUUCGGUGGAGGCGCCGUUGGGAUACCACCCUGAUCGUAUCUAGGUUCUAACCUAGUGCCCUUAUCGGGUACGGGGACCGUGUCAGGCGGGCAGUUUGACUGGGGCGGUCGCCUCCUAAAGAGUAACGGAGGCGUUCCAAGGUUCCCUCAGAAUGGUUGGAAAUCAUUCGCAGAGUGCAAAGGCAUAAGGGAGCUUGACUGCGAGACCUACAAGUCGAGCAGGGACGAAAGUCGGACUUAGUGAUCCGGUGGUACCGCAUGGAAGGGCCAUCGCUCAACGGAUAAAAGCUACCCUGGGGAUAACAGGCUUAUCUCCCCCAAGAGUCCACAUCGACGGGGAGGUUUGGCACCUCGAUGUCGGCUCAUCGCAUCCUGGGGCUGAAGUAGGUCCCAAGGGUUGGGCUGUUCGCCCAUUAAAGCGGUACGCGAGCUGGGUUCAGAACGUCGUGAGACAGUUCGGUCCCUAUCUGUCGUGGGCGCAGGAAAUUUGAGAGGAGCUGUCCUUAGUACGAGAGGACCGGGAUGGACGUACCGCUGGUGCACCAGUUGUUCCGCCAGGAGCAUGGCUGGGUAGCUACGUACGGACGGGAUAAGCGCUGAAAGCAUCUAAGCGUGAAGCCCCCCUCAAGAUGAGAUUUCCCAAUUAGUAAGACCCCUUGAAGACGACGAGGUAGAUAGGUUGGAGGUGGAAGUGCAGCAAUGCAUGGAGCUGACCAAUACUAAUCGGUCGAGGGCUUAUCCUAU
rnacentral:rRNA from 1 species